GUCGCUGCAGAAUAUAAGCAAUGAAUUACUGAUAGAAAAUGGAGGAUAUAUUUCUUGCAUUAAGCACUAUUAAGAAAGUCAAUUAUCUGAGAUAUAUUUCAAUUAAUAGAAUAAUUGAAUAUGAUUUGAAAGAGAAACGUCUGUCAUAUAAAAGAAUUAAGUGUUACGUGAAUAAAAAGACAGGUUAUGAUGAUAGUUUAUUUCGUUUCGGAGAUAAGAUUACUUUAUAUAGAUCGGAACUCCGAUCCAAUAUAACGGCAAAACAACGAUAUAAACUGUAUCGGAAGAUUUAUACUGUAUUGGGAAAUGAAAAAUGCUUACUGCAAACUCCCUAUUGAACAAUUACUAACAAUUCAAACAAAUCUAUAACAGCAUUUAAAGGAAAAUAUUUUUUAAAUUAUGUUGCUUUUAAAUGUUUUUAUUGAACAAGUCCAGUUAUAUUAUCAAAUAACUGAGGAAACGUAGUAAGAUAAUAAUCAUUACUAGGUAUUUUUGCAUGAAAUUUAAGAUUUUUGUACCAGCUAGGAUUGAUAAGUACAACUAACAUAUUUUAUCUCCGAUUUCCCCUUCUAUAUAUCUCUGAAUUUGUUAGAAUUAUUUUAUAUUAGAAAAUAAGUUAGAAGAAAUAGUUUUUUUAAUUAGUUUUCAUAUG
rnacentral:lncRNA from 1 species